CAUGCCUGCACUUUAUAUGACCUAAUAAAUUAACAUAGACUGUAAGCAGUAAGAUAAACGAUACAGUCUGAAGACUUUUUAAUAUUUCUGUUCAAUCAAACCAUUCAAGUGUAAAUUAUAUCAUAAUUGUAAUAAAACAUAGAAAAUAAGGCAGAAUCAAAAAAAAAAUUGUCUGGUUUUCUGAGAAUAAAAAGAUUUAACACUUAUUCCUGAGAUUCUUGGUGCACCUCUUCCCUCCGCCUUUUUGAAUAUAUGAAGCAAUAUCAAAAUAAUACAGCACUAGAUGGGACUUUAAAUAUCAGAUUUGUAAAAUGAAUAAAAUUGCUAGUGUUUUAUAGCAGUCUUCACUGACAAUGGAAACUUCAGCAAACUGUAUGUAUAUACAGAGCAGAAGUGUAGGUAGUGUCACGUUUUUUUCUGUCACAAGUUGUUCUCACUGAAAAACCACUUCUUUUUUUUAUUUUCUGUUCAAAUGUAUGGCAAAGCAUCCUUUAAAUAUUAAUGCAGAAGCAGAAUUUAACCACACAUCGACAACAUAUCACUACAGAAAAGAAGAACACAAUCGGGAUCUGUGCACCAUAUAAAGACAUCAGUGAGACAGAGAUGCCACUAACUAAAUGUUUUUCUUCGGUUUUUAAGAAAAUAUUUGCAUUUCUGAAACGAUAUUCUUUUGUAUUCAUUUUUCUAUUGAGUCUUUUGUUAAUCGGAUUUGAAGAGUUCCUGGAAGCAAAAGUUUUCUCAUGCCCGUGCAGACAUGAUCUGAAUGUACAACUAACGGCGUGCGUCUUCAUCGGACCUGCUCUCUUUAUUUUCGAACUACUCUUCCUCUUUUUAAGGCCUUUUAGAGAGAAAUGCAGUCAUUUUUCUGAAGGAGCAGAUGAUGAUACUCAGCAGAACUGUCCUAAAGCUUUCACAUCAUGUCUGAUUCCACCUAUAAUGUGGGCCAUCAUUUUGUUACUCGAUGGAGAUUACUUUGCUUGUGCCAUGACAUAUUGGAAGGGAAUUUCCACAUUUGACAGUCAGCUCAACAGAUCAUGGUGUAAACCUAUCGAAAAGUUCAGAAAUGUGACAGCGCUUCGAAAUUUGACUCAAACACAUAUCCAUCAAUCUCAGAUAUAUGGUUAUGGUGUGAGCACGGUCUUCAUCGUCUUUCCAAUUAUCUGUGUGGGAAUUAUUGACUGCUGUGGAAAAUCUGCCUGCUGUUCCAGAGCUGGACGUGGCUGAACACAAAUGGACACAACCAUGAACAUCUAUCUAUCUUACC